GAUGAACGCUAGCUACAGGCUUAACACAUGCAAGUCGAGGGGAAACGACAUUGAAGCUUGCUUCGAUGGUCGUCGACCGGCGCACGGGUGAGUAACGCGUAUCCAACCUGCCUCUGACCAAGGGAUAACCCGUCGAAAGUCGGCCUAAUACCUUAUGCAGUCGUCGGAAGUCAUCUGAUGACGACGAAAGAUUUCAUCGGUGAGAGAUGGGGAUGCGUCUGAUUAGCUUGUUGGCGGGGUAACGGCCCACCAAGGCAACGAUCAGUAGGGGUUCUGAGAGGAAGGUCCCCCACAUUGGAACGGAGACCCGGUCCAAACUCCUACGGGAGGCAGCAGUGGGGAAUAUUGGUAAAUGGGGGAGAGCCUGAACCAGCCAAGUAGGGUGCAGGAGGACGGCCCUAUGGGUUGUAAACGGGUUUUAUGGGGGGAAAAAGGGGGGGACGGGGCCUUCAUUGAAGGUACCGAAUGAAUAAGGACCGGCUAAUUCCGU
rnacentral:rRNA from 1 species